ensembl:lncRNA
GCAACUUGGCGAGGAAAAUAAAUCUGAAUACACUCGUUAAGAGCUGAUCAGAGAUCUGCACUAUUGAGGAGAAAAAACUUAACAUGUGAAGCGCGACCCGAGACACAAUGAUCCGAGAUUAAGAACAAGUCAAGUAAGGCAACACGUUGACAUGAGAUGAUGGAAUGAGAUGAGGGAGGGGGGGGGGGGGGUCUUCUAUUCGUCCUUUAAAUUCUGACGUUCACACGCGAUACGAGGCUCUACUGGCACAGGGAAGCGGAGCAUUGUGGGUAAAGCUUUGCACUGAAACCUACACUUCAGUGAACGAAAACACCAAAAGCACAAGUUCCAUUUUGUGGAUCGAACGACUUUGCGAACUGUUAGAGGGAGUGAAGGAACUUGAGCGUGAAGCCACCUGGCGGUCCGACCUCCUAUGUAAACGUUUUCACUCGGUGCUGGCUGCGUGGUUCAGAGCGAGUGACUGGCAAAGGAAAAAUACUAGCAAGUGCAGCGUGGCGGAUGAAGUGGUGAAGCUGUUGUGUUUUGGCAGUUUUACUGACAUUCAGUACUUGAAUAUAAUUUGUUUUGUGUUUGACAGAGAACAUUUUGGCAGAAAGCGAACGACCAGCAAAUUCCAUGUUAAGAAGAAUCCUCCUGGUCGAUGUAUUUAUACGGCGCCGCUUCUCCCAGACCAGAUUGUCCAUUCGUUUUGUUGUAGUGCACGACGGUUAGCGGUCACAUCAGUAGUGCUACAGGCAGCCGCAGCUGCGAGAGCUGGGCGUCGCAGUUUGUUCAGCGGAUCAAGUCGGCAGGUUGCUUCAUCCAGCAGAUCAACCCGCCAGUCUGGUGGGUGCUGCUGGAGGCUGGGUGGAUGAGGGGUCACGGCACUCAUUUUUCUUCUCAUUCAGUCCUUUUUUUUUCCCCAUCCACACCAUCUCCCCCAAAAUCAAAGCCCUGCCGAGGCAGAGCGAGCGAGCCCGCGAUGGUCUCCGGUAAAAAUGUCCGUGCGGUUUCCUGCGUCCGUGCACAGAUGGGGGCUUCCCCUGUGACCACGUAGCUCCCGUACGUUUGUGCAAAUGGGGGAGCGCAAGUGAGGUCCACCCACCCCCACCCACUCUAUCCAUCCCACUCAUCUGCAGAGACACUGAAGGAGAACAAAGGCAUUAUCAAGUUGCAUUCAAACCCUGAAGCUGCUAACUCUCCUGCGAUCGG